AAAAAAAAGCGAAACAAAUUCUGGCCUAAAGCGGAUGUGGAACCAAUAUCACAUGACCCAGGUCCUUCGACUGACGUCAUUUCCUGUUUGUGUAACCGGGCCCCUAAGCAGUAAGCACGUGUGAGCACGACUUUGCAGGUUGCUGCCUCAGGACCUCUGCAAGAUGAUGAUGAUGACGAUGGCGCAAAGAGGAAGCACAACAACCGCGUCACUCGUGACCGAGAUGAAAUGUGAACCAAUGCCACCUCGGUGACCUCCUAGUGACCUUCAGGCAAACAAAAAUGUCUUCAUACAUUAUUUGAUUAAAACACUGCACAAGUUAUUUUCUUGAUCAA